rnacentral:rRNA from 1 species
CUACGGGGUGCUGCAGUGAGGAAUAUUGCACAAUGGGGGGAACCCUGAUGCAGCAACGCCGCGUGGAGGAUGACGCAUUUCGGUGUGUAAACUCCUUUUAUAUGUCAAGAAAAUGACGGUAGCAUAUGAAUAAGCACCGGCUAACUCCGUGCCAGCAGCCGCGGUAAUACGGAGGGUGCAAGCGUUACUCGGAAUCACUGGGCGUAAAGGACGCGUAGGCGGGCUUGUAAGUCAGGUGUGAAAUCCUACAGCUUAACUGUAGAACUGCACUUGAAACUACGAGCCUAGAGUAUGGGAGGGGCAGAUGGAAUUAGUGGUGUAGGGGUAAAAUCCGUAGAUAUCACUAGGAAUACCUAAAGCGAAGGCGAUCUGCUGGAACAUAACUGACGCUAAGGCGUGAAAGCGUGGGGAGCAAACAGGAUUAGAUACCCCUGUAGUC